CGAACGCUGGCGGCAUGCCUAACACAUGCAAGUCGAACGAGACCUUCGGGUCUAGUGGCGCACGGGUGCGUAACGCGUGGGAACCUGCCCUUAGGUUCGGAAUAACUCCCCGAAAGGGGUGCUAAUACCGGAUAAUGUCUUCGGACCAAAGAUUUAUCGCCUUUGGAUGGGCCCGCGUUGGAUUAGCUAGUUGGUAGGGUAAAAGCCUACCAAGGCGACGAUCCAUAGCUGGUCUGAGAGGAUGAUCAGCCACACUGGGACUGAGACACGGCCCAGACUCCUACGGGAGGCAGCAGUGGGGAAUAGUGGACAAUGGGCGAAGGGCUGAUCCAGCAAUGACGCGUGAGUGAUGAAGGCAUUAGGGUUGUAAAGCUCUUUUACCCGGGAUGAUAAUGACAGUACCGGGAGAAUAAGCUCCGGCUAACUCCGUG
rnacentral:rRNA from 1 species